ACCGCAUGGUUCAUGAAGGAUGAAAGACGGUUUCGGCUGUCACUUACAGAUGGACCCGCGGCGCAUUAGCUAGUUGGUGGGGUAAUGGCUCACCAAGGCGACGAUGCGUAGCCGACCUGAGAGGGUGAUCGGCCACACUGGGACUGAGACACGGCCCAGACUCCUACGGGAGGCAGCAGUAGGGAAUCUUCCGCAAUGGACGAAGUCUGACUGGAGCAACGCCGCUGAGUGAUGAAGGUUUUCGGAUCGUAAAAGCUCUGUUGUUAGGGAAGAAAGUGCGAGAGUAACUGCUCGCACCUUGACGGUACCUAACCAGAAAGCCACGGCUAACUACGUGCCAGCAGCCGCGGUAAUACGUAGGUGGCAAGCGUUGUCCGGAAUUAUUGGGCGUAAAGGGCUCGCAGGCGGUUUCUUAAGUCUGAUGUGAAAGCCCCGCCGGCUCAACCCGGGGAGGGUCAUUGGAAACUGGGAAACUUGAGUGCAGAAGAGGAGAGUGGAAUUCCACGUGUAGCGGUGAAAUGCGUAGAGAUUGGAGGAACACCAGUGCGAAGGCGACUCUCUGGUCUGUAACUGACGCUGAGGAGCGAAAGCGGGGGAGCGAACAGGAUUAGAUACCCUGGUAGUCCACGCCGUAAACGAUGAGUGCUAAGUGUUAGGGGGUUUUUCCGCCCCUUAGUGCUGCAGCUAACGCAUUAAGCACUCCGCCUGGGGAGUACGGUCGCAAGACUGAAACUCAAAGGAAAUGACGGGGGCCCGCACAAGCGGGUGGAGCAUGGUGGUUUAAUUCGAAGCAACGCGAAGAACCUUAACCCAGGUCUUGACAUCCUCUGACAACCCUAGAGAUAGGGCUUUCCCCUUCGGGGACAGAGUGACAGGUGGUGCAUGGUUGUCGUCAGCUCGUGUCGUGAGAUGUUGGGUUAAGUCCCAACGAGCGCAACCCUUGAUCUUAGUUGCCAGCAUUUAGUUGGGCACUCUAAGGUGACUGCCGGUGACAAACCGGAGGGAAAGGUGGGGCGAUGACGUCAAAUCAUCAUGCCCCUUAUGACCUGGGCUACACACGUGCUUACAAUGGACAGAACAAAGGGCUGCGAGACCGCAAGU
rnacentral:rRNA from 1 species